UACGUAGGGUGCAAGCGUUGUCCGGAAUUAUUGGGCGUAAAGAGCUCGUAGGCGGUUUGCGCGUCUGCUGUGAAAACUCGGGGCUUAACUCCGGGCCUGCAGUGGGUACGGGCAGACUAGAGUGCGGUAGGGGAGACUGGAAUUCCUGGUGUAGCGGUGAAAUGCGCAGAUAUCAGGAGGAACACCGGUGGCGAAGGCGGGUCUCUGGGCCGUAACUGACGCUGAGACGACGAAGCGUGGGGAGCGAACAGG
rnacentral:rRNA from 1 species